rnacentral:rRNA from 1 species
GUCUAAGUACUAGCCAAUAAUUCUUUUUUUUUUUUUUUUUUUAAAAAAAGAAGUAAACGGUGAAACCGCGAAAAGCUCAUUAAAUCGGCUUUGGUUCCUUAGAUAGUAAGCAGAUCUGAUUUUUUUUUAAAAUGUAAAAUUUUGAAAAAAAAAGAAAAUCUGAAAUGGAUAACUGUGGUAAUUCUAGAGCUAAUACAUGAAAAUUAUUUCAGUGUGAAAAUAUUUUAAAAAAAGGAAUAUUUUUGCACGCUUUUAUUAGAGGAAAAAGCCAAAUUUUAAAAAAUCUUAAAAAAACAUUUGUUUUUUUUUGAUUAAUAAAUUUAAUAAUCGUUUAAAAAAUAUCAUUAAUUUGAUAGUUUUUUAAAAUGGUGUUGAAUCUGAAUAACUUGAAUGAAUUUCUUUUGAAAAAUAUUUAUCGUAUUAAUGUUUUUAUAACUUUUUUUAAUUUUUUUUUAAAAAUUUUAUUUAAAUAAUAUAUAUAUAUAGACACUUAUGUGUAUGUAUGUAGAAUUAUUUAAUUAUAAAUUAAAAAAAAAAAUAAAAAGUUAUAUUUAUUUCGAUAAAUUUUAAUUAGAAAGAAAUUUAAAGCAGACCGCAAAAAAAAAUUCAUUUUAUAUUUUAUAUAAAAUAAAUAAAUGCGGCGUAUCUUUCAAUUGUCUGCCUUAUCAACUGUCGAUGGUAGAUUACAUGUCUACCAUGGUUGUAACGGGUAACGGGGAAUCAGGGUUCGAUUCCGGAGAGGGAGCCUGAGAAACGGCUACCACAUCUAAGGAAGGCAGCAGGCGCGCAAAUUACCCACUCCCGGCACGGGGAGGUAGUGACGAUAAAUAACGAUCCGGAACUCUAAUGAGUUUCCGUAAUCGGAAUGAGUACAAUUUAAAUCCGUUAACGAGGAGCAAAUGGAGGGCAAGUCUGGUGCCAGCAGCCGCGGUAAUUCCAGCUCCAUUAGCAUAUAUUAAAGUUGUUGCGUUAAAAAAGCUCGUAGUUGAAUCUGUAUCUCAUCAUGUCAGUCGCUCGUAAUUUAAUUUAUGUAGUUUGAUUUGACAUUUUGUAUGAGAUAUAAAUACUAGUGGAUUUUUUCAAAAUUGAAUUUUAUUUAUUUAUAUUUUGGUUUUUUUUUUUUUUUUCAAAAAAAAAAUCAAUAUAAAUUAUAUAGUAAUUUUCGAUUUUAAAAUUCGAUAUAAUAAUUUUUAAUCAAAAAAGUUUAUCGAAAAUAAAUGUUAUUUUUUAAUAAAAAAUUUUUUUAAAAAAUUUUUUAUAAAAAAAUUAAUUUUUUUCGAUAACUUUUAUUAAAUAUUAAUUAUAUUCUAAUAAAAUUAUUUAAACGUAAUUUUUAUUAGACCAGUAAAAUUACUUUGAACAAAUUAGAGUGCUUAAAGCAGGCAAAUUUAAAUGCCUUGAAUAUAACAGCAUGGAAUAAUAGAAUAUGAUCUCGAUACUGUUUAAAAAAGAAAAUUUUUUUCUGAUUUUUUUUUUUUUUAAAUGAUUAGAAAAAAAUAAAAAUUGGCUUAAAGAAAUAAAUAAUUUUACUUAAAAAAAAGAUUUUUUUUUUUUUUUUGAUUUAUACAAAAAUAGUAAAAUUUCUUAUCGUUGCAAAAAUUAUAUUUAAAUUUUUUUAAUUUUUGUAUUUUUUUUUUUUAAAUAAAAAAAAAUAACAAAAACUAUUUACAAUUUUUUUUUUUUAAAAAAAAUAAUUUUGUAAAUAGAAAAUUUAAAAACUUUUUUGCAUCCAUAACGUUAAGAAAAUUUUUUUUUUGUUAAAAAAAAAUAAUUUCUUUUUUUUAAGAAUUUAUUUCGACAGUAUGAU